GAGUAGCUGUUGUCGUUUUUCUAUAAGUAUGAGCUUGUAUUGUUGUGAAAAUGUGUGUGGUAAUGAAAUGAGUUUACUCUAAGUGUCUUUCUCCGAUGCUCUCAAAUAUCUUUCAAAGCAAACACAAAUUCUAGAACAGAACAGAGUUAUGAAGAAACUCUUUCUAAGUGAUAAAGCCAAGUAAAACAACAUGGUAUCAGAGCUCCGUUUCAGUCCUGGAGCUUCAACAGUCAAGAAGAGAAUGGCGGAUCAAGAGGGUCCUGCAAAAGAGAAGAGAAUGGCGGAUCAAGAAGAUCCUGCAAGAGAAAAAAGAGGAACAGAGAAGAUAAGUUCCAAAGGAAGAGUCUUACAUAAACAUGAUGAUGAAGAAAAUCACAUGUUCAGUGUUAGACAAGAAGAUAAAGAAGAAAAAGAAGAGGAUGUAUGGCUCAUAGACAGUGGAUGUACAAACCACAUGACGCCAAAUGAGAAGAAGUUUGUCUGCAUCAACACUAGCAUCAAUGUUCCCAUACGUGUUGGAAACGGUGCCGUCAUGAUGUCAAAAGGAAAAGGAGAUAUUGAAGUUAUGACCAAGAAAAGAGUCAAAAUUAUAAAAGAUGUUUUUCUUGUACCAAAUCUUGGUAAGAAUCUACUAAGUGUCCCUCAGAUGAUCAACAACGGAUAUCAAGUCAAGUUCAAAAAGAGAAGCUGCAUCAUACAUGACAGACUCGGGAGAAAAAUUGGUGAAGUUCAGAUGGUGAAUAAGAGCUUCCAUAUAAAGUGGCCCUCUAAAAAGGAAAGUGCAAUGGUGGCCAAGAGUGGUGAUGCAGAAC
rnacentral:lncRNA from 1 species